rnacentral:rRNA from 1 species
AAGAACGUAGCGAAAUGCGAUACUUGGUGUGAAUUGCAGAAUCCCGUGAACCAUCGAGUUUUUGAACGCAAGUUGCGCCCAAAGCCAUUAGGCUAAGGGCACGUCUGCCUGGGCGUNANGCNUCAAGCAUCACGUCGCCCCCKACCKCAAAGCCCGGUUACCAGCUGGACCUUGC